rnacentral:misc_RNA from 1 species
GUAGGGCUUCGGCCCUGUCGAGAUAGAACCCUUGCCUUUUUGAGUACCUUUUUCUGUUUCCUCGGCAGGCUCGCCUGCCAAUGGGGACCCAACAAAACACUUUGUAGUACCUGUAACCGUCUGAACAAACAAACAAAAAAUUAAAACUUUCAACAACGGAUCUCUUGGUUCU